rnacentral:rRNA from 1 species
GGUUAAGCGACUAAGCGUACACGGUGGAUGCCCUGGCAGUCAGAGGCGAUGAAGGACGUGCUAAUCUGCGAUAAGCGCCGGUAAGGUGAUAUGAACCGUUAUAACCGGCGAUUUCCGAAUGGGGAAACCCAGUGUGACUCGUCACACUAUCAUUAACUGAAUCCAUAGGUUAAUGAGGCGAACCGGGGGAACUGAAACAUCUAAGUACCCCGAGGAAAAGAAAUCAACCGAGAUUCCCCCAGUAGCGGCGAGCGAACGGGGAGGAGCCCAGAGCCUGAAUCAGCAUGUGUGUUAGUGGAAGCGUCUGGAAAGGCGCGCGAUACAGGGUGACAGCCCCGUACACAAAAGCGCAUGUGCUGUGAGCUCGAUGAGUAGGGCGGGACACGUGGUAUCCUGUCUGAAUAUGGGGGGACCAUCCUCCAAGGCUAAAUACUCCUGACUGACCGAUAGUGAACCAGUACCGUGAGGGAAAGGCGAAAAGAACCCCGGCGAGGGGAGUGAAAAAGAACCUGAAACCGUGUACGUACAAGCAGUGGGAGCACAGGUUUACCUGUGUGACUGCGUACCUUUUGUAUAAUGGGUCAGCGACUUAUAUUCUGUAGCAAGGUUAACCGAAUAGGGGAGCCGGAGGGAAACCGAGUCUUAAUUGGGCGUUAAGUUGCAGGGUAUAGACCCGAAACCCGGUGAUCUAGCCAUGGGCAGGUUGAAGGUUGGGUAACACUAACUGGAGGACCGAACCGACUAAUGUUGAAAAAUUAGCGGAUGACCUGUGGCUGGGGGUGAAAGGCCAAUCAAACCGGGAGAUAGCUGGUUCUCCCCGAAAGCUAUUUAGGUAGCGCCUCGUGAAUUCAUCUCCGGGGGUAGAGCACUGUUUCGGCUAGGGGGCCAUCCCGGCUUACCAACCCGAUGCAAACUGCGAAUACCGGAGAAUGUUAUCACGGGAGACACACGGCGGGUGCUAACGUCCGUCGUGAAGAGGGAAACAACCCAGACCGCCAGCUAAGGUCCCAAAGUCAUGGUUAAGUGGGAAACGAUGUGGGAAGGCCCAGACAGCCAGGAUGUUGGCUUAGAAGCAGCCAUCAUUUAAAGAAAGCGUAAUAGCUCACUGGUCGAGUCGGCCUGCGCGGAAGAUGUAACGGGGCUAAACCAUGCACCGAAGCUGCGGCAGCG